rnacentral:rRNA from 1 species
GUUGGUGAAGUGAUUUGUCUGCUUGAUUGCGUUAACGAACGAGACCUCUGCGUGCUAAAUAGAGUGGCUAUUCUUCGGAAUUGUGCGCUCUUCUUAGACGGACAACUAGUGCAAGCUAGAGGAAGUUGGAGGCAAUAACAGG